rnacentral:lncRNA from 1 species
UAUAAAUAGAUAGUUUAUGUUGCUUGGGCACAAUCGGGCUGGCAAGGUGAGCGUUUGAUGAAAUGACUGUUAAAGAUGUGGUUUCUUGGAGCUGUAUGAUUGCAGGAUAUGUAGCUUGAUGUGUGCCUUAUUUGUCUCGCCUGCCACCAGUAGAAGCAAGGUAGCCCCCUAUAUUGGUUGCCCAUUUCCCCUUUAUCUAAUAACGGACGACCAAUGAAGUAACAGACACCCG